GAUGAACGCUGGCGGCAUGCCUAACACAUGCAAGUCGAGCGACAACAUGACGUGCUUGCCCCUCUUACUUUCGCGUGGCACGCGUGAGUGUCAUGCGGAUAACCUACCCUUAUGAUGGGGAAUACCUUGGCGAACGGUACCCUAUUACGGCUAAUUUUUUGAAGCGCAAAGUACGAGACUUACAGACCUUUCUCUUGUCACUUGGCGAAUGUCCGGUGUCGGAUUAGGUAGUUGGAAAGGUAACGGCUUACCAAGGCAACGAUCCGUAGCGGAUCUGAGAGGAUGAUCCGCCACACUGGGACUGAGACACGGCCCAGACUCCUACGGGAGGCAGCAGUGGGGAAUUUUGGACAAUGGGCGCAAGCCUGAUCCAGCCAUGCCGCGUGAGUGAAGAAGGCCUUCGGGUUGUAAAGCUCUUUCGGCUGGGAAGAAAUAGCACCCUCGAAUACAGGCUGUGGAUGACAGUACCAGCAUAAGAAGCACCGGCUAACUACGUG
rnacentral:rRNA from 1 species